GUGGGAAGCUCGUCUUGACAAAAAACGAGAAGCGGAAUGAAAACAAGCAGAAGCUGAGAAAGGCGUAGAGGAGGUAAGGAGGAGGAAAGAAGAGCGAAAGAUUCAAGAAGCUCUGAAAGAAGUAGAAAAAAGAAGAGGUGAAGAAAGAAGAUGAGAAGAAGAACUAGAAAGAAAAGAAGAAGAGGAACAGGGGAGAGAAAAAGAAAAGGAAAAAGAAAGUGAAGAAGAACAAAGAGAAGGAGAUGGUAAAGAAAACGGAAUAGGUACGGUCUUUCCUACCGAACCUUCAACCGAAGCUUCAACAUCGGCUUCUUACCAGUGACUGAACCGACGGAUCCGUUAACUGUUUC
rnacentral:lncRNA from 1 species